rnacentral:tRNA from 1 species
GCGCCCUUAGCUCAAUUGAAUAGAGUGUCUGACUUCGGAUCAGAAGGUUGGGGGUUUGACUCCCUCAGGGCGCGCCA